UGGGGCGUAGCUCGGCUUGGAAGAGCGUCAGCUUUGCAAGCGAGAGGCCGGCGGUUCGAGUCCGCUCGCCUUGA
rnacentral:tRNA from 1 species